AGCGAAGGUGUGGAAGAACGGCUGAGGCGAGGAGUAGACUAUCUGGUUGUAGAGCUCCUGUUCCCAAACCUGCCUGCUCGUCUGGGGAGAAACACAUAACGCAGAGCACACAUGAAUCUGUGACUUCCAUUUUCAGAGGGAGGGAGUGCACUGUUGUUGUUCUUCUCCUGCUGUGAGUAUGCUCACUUUGCAGCCACCCAAAUUGUGUACCUGACGUCAUUUUUUAUUUUUUAAACUUUGAAUAAAAAGCAAUUUGAAACUUUGGUACAAAUUAAAGACAUACUUUAUUGUCAGAUAAAGACAUUCAAAUUACUUUAAAACACGCACAGGAUGAAUAACAAAGUCAAAACGUUUUUUUUAAGUCAAAUAUUAAAGAAACAAAGAAAACACAACAAAUGUUUUAACUUAAACCCCUUAGGUCAUUAUUUAUAAUUAUAAUAUUUUAAUUAGGAAGAGUUUGUAGGACUACUACAACAGACACAGAAUGUUAACACAGAAUGGUAAUUGGCCUUGGCUGAACAUAUAAAAACAGUUUGUUACAACCUAUUUCAAUGUGACACAAUAUAGUCUUUGGUUUGCAAUCAGGGCCUUUUUAGGAAUUCAAAAAAAACUUGUACAAAGCACUUCUCUGUGGCCAUUGAUUCACACGUGAUUGUCUGUAACUGUCUGUUUGACCAUCAUGGAUAGCAGCCCAACACCACAAAUUGCACCGUAUCUGUUGGAUUAUUUAAAAAAAAAUCACCCCCGGCUCAGCUUUGAAGAUGAUCCCCUCUAAAACAGUCAUGUUAAGUGUCAAAAUAGAUUAACAAAAAAUAUCACAUU